rnacentral:rRNA from 1 species
UACGUAGGGUGCAAGCGUUGUCCGGAUUUAUUGGGCGUAAAGGGCGUGUAGGCGGCCUGUCAGGUCUGCUGUGAAAACUCGAGGCUCAACCUCGAGAUGUCGGCGGAAACCGUCUGGCUAGAGUCCGGAAGAGGAGAGUGGAAUUCCUGGUGUAGCGGUGAAAUGCGCAGAUAUCAGGAAGAACACCGAUGGCGAAGGCAGCUCGCUGGGACGGUACUGACGCUGAGACGCGAAAGCGUGGGGAGCGAACAGG